GCCCGCGUAGCUCAAUGGUUAGAUCAUCCGACUCUUACUUCAGAGUCAGAUCGGAAGGCUGUGGGUUCGAGUCCCACCGUGGGCU
rnacentral:tRNA from 1 species